rnacentral:rRNA from 1 species
UACGAAGGGGGCUAGCGUUGCUCGGAAUCACUGGGCGUAAAGCGCACGUAGGCGGAUUGUUAAGUCAGGGGUGAAAUCCUGGAGCUCAACUCCAGAACUGCCUUUGAUACUGGCGAUCUUGAGUCCGGGAGAGGUGAGUGGAACUGCGAGUGUAGAGGUGAAAUUCGUAGAUAUUCGCAAGAACACCAGUGGCGAAGGCGGCUCACUGGCCCGGUACUGACGCUGAGGUGCGAAAGCGUGGGGAGCAAACAGGAUUAGAACGACCU